rnacentral:siRNA from 1 species
UUAUGGUUUUUGGCGCAUCAA